rnacentral:hammerhead_ribozyme from 1 species
UGGCGAAACAUCCCCCCUUGGAUGUCGCUGCGGCGUGGUGGCCGCAGCCUGACGAGCCGGCCGCG